GAUGUGGAUUAUUCGAUGCAACGCGAAAACCUUACCUACCCUUGACAUGUCUGGAACCUUGGUGAGAGCCGAGGGUGCCUUCGGGAGCCAGAACACAGGUGCUGCAUGGCUGUCGUCAGCUCGUGUCGUGAGAUGUUGGGUUAAGUCCCGCAACGAGCGCAACCCUUGUCACUAGUUGCCAUCAUUUAGUUGGGCACUCUAGUGAGACUGCCGGUGACAAACCGGAGGAAGGUGGGGAUGACGUCAAGUCCUCAUGGCCCUUAUGGGUAGGGCUUCACACGUCAUACAAUGGUCGGUACAGAGGGUUGCCAAGCCGCGAGGUGGAGCCAAUCCCUUAAAGCCGAUCGUAGUCCGGAUCGUAGUCUGCAACUCGACUACGUGAAGUCGGAAUCGCUAGUAAUCGCGGAUCAGCACGCCGCGGUGAAUACGUUCCCGGGCCUU
rnacentral:rRNA from 1 species